rnacentral:rRNA from 1 species
CGCGAAUGGCUCAUUACAACAGCUAUAAUUUACUUGAUCUUGACACAAUCCUACUUGGAUAACUGUGGUAAUUCUAGAGCCAAUACAUGCAUUAAAGCUCUGACCUCACGGGAAGAGUGCAUUUAUUAGAACAAAACCAAGCGGCUUCGGCUGUUUCUGGUUGACUCAUAGUAACUGAGCUGAUCGCAUGGUCUUGCACCGGCGACGUGUCUUUCAAGUAUCUGCCGUAUCAACUUUCGAUGGUAGUGUAUCUGACUACCAUGGUGAUCACGCGUAACGGAGAAUAAGGGUUCGGCUCCGGAGAGUUCGCCUGAGAAAUCGCGAACACAUCUAAGGAAGGCAGCAGGCGCGAAAAUUACCCACUCUCAGCACGAGGAGGUAGUGACGAAAAAUAACGAGACCGUUCUCUUAUGAGGCCGGUCAUCGGAAUGGGUACAAUUUAAACCCUUUAACGAGUAUCUAUGAGAGGGCAAGUCUGGUGCCAGCAGCCGCGGUAAUUCCAGCU